rnacentral:ncRNA from 1 species
AACGACCGGCUGGGCACCUAUGUGCUCGGCCCACAAGUGGAGGCUCCGAUCUCCCACCUGACCAUCCUCCGGGAUGGCAGGUCACCGGUCAGGUGGCGCCCAUCGUUCCGUACGGACGAUGGAGCCGCCCGAUACGCCCCGCGGUUGACCGCGGCGGUGUUCCGGUUUUCCAGGAGCCCCGCCUGUGUCCCGUCCGGGGCAUUUUUG